AAGAUCUUAAGUUAAACCAAACUGUGGGCCUUCAAAGCCUAAAAUAGGUUAUUAAACCUAGGUCUUG
rnacentral:tRNA from 1 species